rnacentral:rRNA from 1 species
CGAGUUNCUGAACCUUCGGGGNNNNUUAACGGCGUCGAGCGGCGGACGGGUGAGUAAUGCCUAGGAAAUUGCCCUGAUGUGGGGGAUAACCAUUGGAAACGAUGGCUAAUACCGCAUGAUGCCUACGGGCCAAAGAGGGGGACCUUCGGGCCUCUCGCGUCAGGAUAUGCCUAGGUGGGAUUAGCUAGUUGGUGAGGUAAGGGCUCACCAAGGCGACGAUCCCUAGCUGGUCUGAGAGGAUGAUCAGCCACACUGGAACUGAGACACGGUCCAGACUCCUACGGGAGGCAGCAGUGGGGAAUAUUGCACAAUGGGCGCAAGCCUGAUGCAGCCAUGCCGCGUGUGUGAAGAAGGCCUUCGGGUUGUAAAGCACUUUCAGUCGUGAGGAAGGUNNNGGNNUUAAUANCNGNNNNAUUUGACGUUAGCGACAGAAGAAGCACCGGCUAACUCCGUGCCAGCAGCCGCGGUAAUACGGAGGGUGCGAGCGUUAAUCGGAAUUACUGGGCGUAAAGCGCAUGCAGGUGGUUUGUUAAGUCAGAUGUGAAAGCCCGGNGCUCANCCUCGGAAUAGCAUUUGAAACUGGCAGACUAGAGUACUGUAGAGGGGGGUAGAAUUUCNNNUGUANCGGUGAAAUGCGUANA